rnacentral:rRNA from 1 species
AGCAGCCGCGGUAAUUCCAGCUCCAAUAGCGUAUAUUAAAGUUGCUGCAGUUAAAAGCUCGUAGUUGAAUUUCGGGACUAAUAUGUCGGUCGUGCCUCGGUACGUACUGGCUUAUUGGUUUCUCCUUUCUGAAGAACCAUGAUGUCAUUUAUUUGGUGUCGUGGGGAAUCAGGACUGUUACUUUGAAAAAUUAGAGUGUUUAAAGCAGGCUCACGCUUGAAUACAUUAGCAUGGAAUAAUGAAAUAGGACGUUUGAUCCUAUUUUGUGGUUCUAGGAUUGACGUAAUGAUUAAUAGGGAUAGUUGGGGCAUUAGUAUUCAAUUGUCAGA